UACGGGGGGGGCAAGCGUUGUUCGGAAUUACUGGGCGUAAAGGGCUCGUAGGCGGCCAACUAAGUCAGACGUGAAAUCCCUCGGCUUAACCGGGGAACUGCAUCUGAUACUGGAUGGCUUGAGUUCGGGAGAGGGAUGUGGAAUUCCAGGUGUAGCGGUGAAAUGCGUAGAUAUCUGGAGGAACACCGGUGGCGAAGGCGGCAUCCUGGACCGACAUUGACGCUGAGGCGCGAAAGCCAGGGGAGCAAACAGG
rnacentral:rRNA from 1 species